rnacentral:rRNA from 1 species
GAUCAUGGCUCAGAUCGAACGCUGGCGGCAGGCCUAACACAUGCAAGUCGAGCGGCAGCGGGUCCUUCGGGAUGCCGGCGAGCGGCGGACGGGUGAGUAAUGCCUAGGAAUCUGCCUGAUAGUGGGGGAUGACGUUCGGAAACGGACGCUAAUACCGCAUACGUCCUACGGGAGAAAGCGGGGGAUCUUCGGACCUCGCGCUAUCAGAUGAGCCUAGGUCGGAUUAGCUAGUUGGUGAGGUAAUGGCUCACCAAGGCGACGAUCCGUAACUGGUCUGAGAGGAUGAUCAGUCACACUGGAACUGAGACACGGUCCAGACUCCUACGGGAGGCAGCAGUGGGGAAUAUUGGACAAUGGGCGAAAGCCUGAUCCAGCCAUGCCGCGUGUGUGAAGAAGGUCUUCGGAUUGUAAAGCACUUUAAGUUGGGAGGAAGGGCAGUAAGCUAAUAUCUUGCUGUUUUGACGUUACCAACAGAAUAAGCACCGGCUAACUUCGUGCCAGCAGCCGCGGUAAUACGAAGGGUGCAAGCGUUAAUCGGAAUUACUGGGCGUAAAGCGCGCGUAGGUGGUUCAGCAAGUUGGAUGUGAAAGCCCCGGGCUCAACCUGGGAACUGCAUCCAAAACUACUGAGCUAGAGUACGGUAGAGGGUGGUGGAAUUUCCUGUGUAGCGGUGAAAUGCGUAGAUAUAGGAAGGAACACCAGUGGCGAACGCGACCACCUGGACUGAUACUGACACUGA